GUGGUGUUUGUAUGCAGUGGUGGUGUGUGUAGUGGUGUGUGUUGUGGUGGUGUCUGUAUGCAGUGGUGGUGUGUGUAGUGGUGUGUGUGUGUAUGCAGUGGUGUGUGUGUGUAGUGGUGUGUGUGUGUAUGCAGUGGUGUGUGUGUGUAUGCAGUGGUGUGUGUAUGCAGUGGUGGUGUGUGAAGUGGUGUGUGUUGUGGUGGUGUCUGUAUGCAGUGGUGGUGUGUGUAUGCAGUGGUGUGUGUGUGUAUGCAGUGGGGUGUGUGUAGUGGUGUGUGUAGUGGUGUGUGUGUGUAUGCAGUGGUGUGUGUAUGCAGUGGUGGUGUGUGUAGUGGUGGUGUGUGUAGUGGUGUGUGUAGUGGUGUGUGUGUGUAUGCAGUGGUGUGUGUAUGCAGUGGUGGUGUGUGUAGUGGUGGUGUGUGUAGUGGUGUGUGUAUGCAGUGGUGGUGUGUGUAGUGGUGUGUGUGUGUAGUGGUGUGUGUGUGUAUGCAGUGGUGGUGUGUGUAGUGGUGGUGUGUGUAGUGGUGUGUGUUGUGGUGGUGUGUGUUGUGGUGGUGUGUGUAUGCAGUGGUGGUGUGUGUAUGCAGUGUUGGUGUGUGUAGUGGUGUGUGUUGUGGUGGUGUGUGUAGUGGUUGGUGUGUGUAUGCAGUGGUGUGUGUAUGCAGUGGUGGUGUGUGUAUGCAGUGGUGGUGUGUGUAUGCAGUGGUGUGUGUGUAUGCAGUGGGGUGUGUGUAGUGGGGGUGUGUGUAGUGGUGUGUGUAUGCAGUGGUGGUGUGUGUAUGCAGUGGGGUGUGUGCAGUGGUGUGUGUGUGUAUGCAGUGGGGUGUGUGUAGUGGUGGUGUGUGUAGUGGUGUGUGUAUGCAGUGGUGGUGUGUGUAUGCAGUGGGGUGUGUGUAGUGGUGGUGUGUGUAGUGGUGGUGUGUGUAUGCAGUGGGGUGUGUGUAGUGGUGGUGUGUGUAGUGGUGUGUGUAUGCAGUGGUGGUGUGUGUAGUGGUGUGUGUAUGCAGUGGUGUGUGUAUGCAGUGCUGGUGUGUGUAUGCUUGCUUUUUUUGUUUAUUUUAUUCACCCCCCUUGCCGGUGGACUCUGGGCCAAGCCUGUUGUUUUGCCUCUAAUGAUUACGUUCUGGAGAGGGUUUGGAAAGAAUCUUGGGACGAGUUCUCAUAGACACACACACACAC
ensembl:lncRNA